rnacentral:rRNA from 1 species
UGGGGAAUAUUGCACAAUGGGCGAAAGCCUGAUGCAGCAACGCCGCGUGAGUGAUGAAGGCCUUCGGGUUGUAAAGCUCUGUCUUUUGGGACGAUAAUGACGGUACCAAAGGAGGAAGCCACGGCUAACUACGUGCCAGCAGCCGCGGUAAUACGUAGGUGGCAAGCGUUGUCCGGAUUUACUGGGCGUAAAGGAUGCGUAGGCGGAUUUUUAAGUGAGAUGUGAAAACCCUAAGCUUAACUUGGGGACUGCAUUUCAUACUGGAAAUCUAGAGUGCGGGAGAGGAGAAUGGAAUUCCUAGUGUAGCGGUGAAAUGCGUAGAGAUUAGGAAGAACACCAGUGGCGAAGGCGAUUCUCUGGACCGUAACUGACGCUGAGGCAUGAAAGCGUGGGUAGCAAACAGGAUUAGAUACCCUGGUAGUCCACGCCGUAAACGAUGAGUACUAGGUGUAGGAGGUAUCGACCCCUUCUGUGUCGCAGUUAACACAAUAAGUACUCCGCCUGGGAAGUACGAUCGCAAGAUUAAAAACUUAAAUGAAUUGAUGGGGGUCAUAGCUGUUUCCU